CGCCGCCGCCGCGGCGCGUUCAGGGGGCUCAGGAGUCGCCCAAGCAAACGCGGGCUCCGCGGGCGGACCACGGAAGCGGGGUGGCCGCCCCGGUCCCACCCCAGCCCGGAACAAAUGCCCACAGUCGCUGGGAGUCGAGAGGCCGGCCCAAAGGGUACUUGAGCGUCAGCGCUCCGUAACGGAUUCCGUCUUGCCCGCACGGAAAGGCAUUUGAAACCACAGGGCUGGAUGAGGUCAUCCCAGAAGAGAAUAAAUUGAGAAGAAAAGGAUUCCAAGAAGCUGCCCCUUUCGUGGAAGAAGAGUCUGAAGAGAAGCCAGUGGGAUGAGAGAAUAAUGGAGAAUAUGUGGUCAUGAAAGCCAAAUAUCUAAAUAUUUUAAUAAGGGAUAAUCAGCUACAUUGAAUACUAUCAAGAGAUUAAAGAGUAUAGAAAUAUA